GAUAUCUGAUCCUACUCCAUGACCACGACUCCGUGCUCGAGUCAGUUCAGCAUGCAAUACAUUUCCCCUCUCGUGCUGUUCGUCCAAACAGAAGUUUGUUUUUCUACGGUUGCAAUUGUCUGCUUCUUCUGUAGCAGCAGUGUGCAGACAGUAUCUAUUAUAUCUAUAUACCUACAAUAUUCAUGUGGAUUUUGAUAUUUGGCGAUCGUUCUAAAUCUUGUAGUAGUACCGAACUUGGACGUGGUCACCACUUUUUUCUUCUUCUACCUCAUGUGCAUGUGACAUGUGAGUGACCUUAAAGACCAUCAACAGCCGCGUACAGUUACUCCAACUCCUCCAACGUCGGCCGACAUCGACCAUUAGACUGGUCAUAGUGGGGAGUAACUUAAACUAGUGUCAUGCAUAUGACACUAGUCUAUGUUAUUACCUUUAUAGUGUAAAGUGUCAUAGAAGUAGUAUCAUAUAUGGUUGCAUUUAUUAGCUUAUAGACUCAAUAUUUGUUGGGAAGCGCUAUGUGAUGGUAACAUAAUAUGUUACUCCAAACACCUCUCUCCUCAUUAACUAGGUGGAACAUAAGCAAACUUGUCUUGGGAUGUGUUAUGUUAGUGGCUAAAUUACUCCCACUAUGACUAGCCUUAACACCUUAAAUUAAAUGUCCUCUUUCACAACCGAAUAUCUCAUUACCAAAUCCUCAAAUUCAUACAACUACAUGCAACUAAAACCUAGUUCGCUGGUGCUACUUCGCCUCCAUGUUCGUGUCCAUGUCCGGUGACAAGUUGAGCCCCCCCCCCCGAUUGAUGGUGCGGUCACCGACGAGAAAGAGUAGGACAUGGGGCACGGGCCGACUCACGGAUUUGAGCGCCGCAGUCUCCCAUGACCUACUCUUCUUUGUUGGAGCCCGUGUCCAGGACGUCGUCGGGCGACGUGAGAUCCAUAAUAGACCCCUCGCAGUUAGAGCCCGACACGUCUAACACAACGCAGACGCGGUGCGCGGUUACCCAUACCAGCUCCAAGGGACGUGCGACUCCGCCUCCGCGAGGGCCGUCGCGGCCUCCCACGCCCUCUGCCUCGCACAACAAGCAUGCCGCUCCAUGUUAGUGGACGCGCCAUGAUUCAACCGGUGUAUACCUCCGAUUAUGAGACCAGGUUGCCGCCACCGGGCUGGAUCCAUUUCUCGUUUUUAUUGAAUCAAAACGCAAAUCCAGAUUCAUCCCUGGCUUGCUUGCAGGAGAACCCAAGUUGUUUUUCCUACUGCCGCUCAAGUUUGCACAGACACUUGUAUCAGUACACAUUUCUGAUAAAGCUUAAUCUUGUAUGUGUAGCACACUUGCUACAAGGCCGUUGAUUUGGAUGAAAUUGACAAGAAGACUAGUUGCAUCUCAGUUGACUUGUAAUGUAGUUUAGUUGCACACAUAUUUUCGUGGAAGUGUCACGGCAGAUGUCUUCAUGGAAGGACUUAAUUGUGGAGCCAUUGCGACGAGGUUAGUUUAAAGGGGUUAAACGGGACAAAGGACACAGAGAGUUUAUACUGAUUCGGCCCCUUGCGGUGAAGGUAAAGGCCUACUCCAGUUGAGGUGGUAUUGCUAGGGUUUCAAUUACCAGGGAGCAAACACGCUUUGCCUGGCUCUCGAUUUGAUGUUUCUUAACCUAAGCCGUUGUCGGGUCGUCCCUUUAUAUACACGGGUUGACGCCCUGCGGCCUACAGAGUCCCGGCCGACUCAUACAACGUGUCCGGCUCGGUGACGUAUCUUACAUGCCUUAUAUUACAAGUCUACUCAUACAUGGCGGUUUACACUUACGACCCUUAAGCUGUGUCUAGGCUUGGGCCUCUUACCGGCCUAUCUAUGAACCACCGUCUGGUAUACUCCUGGGCUUCAUGGAUGAACCGCCACUGUGGUUGACCCGACCCCUCCUGGGCGGGUGAUACCUGAUAGUCAUAUCCCCAACAUUAGGCCCCAGGUUGAUUUGAACUUGUUCAGGUCAAUCUUCAACACUUAGAAAAAAUCCUUCUUCCUCUGCUAUGAAACAUUGUAACCCGCCAUGACGUCAUCUCCGGAAAUUUCGAAAACCCGCCACGACGUCAUCUUUAACGGAUCUUUUAUCUUUAAUGACCUUCCGAAAAUCGAGGCGUUCAAUUAGUUGGAUAAUCAUCAUUUGACCUCCUCGUUUUUCGUGCCUGCCUGUUACUCUUUUCCUUAUAAAUAGGGUCAAAGCACCCCUUUCUCAUUCUCCUCUCUCCUUCUCGUCUUCUUCUUCCUCGCGACGCACCAGCCCACACGAGCUCCGCCAUCAUCGACCUCCGUCCUCUUCGUUAACUCCGGCCGCUGCAUCACCCUGGACGGUCCAGAAAUGCCGCAGCACUCCUCCGCUGUCAGCUCGCAUCGGUAAGUCUUCCCUUUUCUUUUUCAUGGAUCUGUUCCUUAUGGUUUCGGUGUUCGUCGGUGUUCAUCGCUGCGCCUCCUUCUCCUUGCUAGAUCGUGUAGUUUUGAUCUGAAAAUAAUGUAGGUCCUAUGCGGUAGCAGUUUUAGCACCCGCUUUUGAUAUUAAAACAUAUCCUUAUCACGACAGAUCUCCUCUAGGGCACCUCCACUUUUAUGUUGCCGCCUCUGUAGGUUUAGAUUUUAUCUCCUUUUUCUGAACAGCUGUAGAUCCGAAUUUAUAGCUUUAAUCUGUGGAACCUGUUUGUCCCAACACUUAACAAAUUUUGCUCUUGUUAGAUCUUGAAUAUCUUAGUCAUGGCGGCUUACUUACCGGCUUGCUUAUUACUUCAUAUAUCAUUAGCCCUCACUUAAGACGCCAUUCUGAAUGUACACUGCAACUGUUAACUUGUGAUUUCACCAACUGACUUGAACCGGCAAAUUACUCCUUUCUUUAGGUUGUCCUUUCACAAUGCCACCAAAGACAGUUACCACACAUGUAACUGGGUUCCUUCCAUCGUUACUGAGGAUACUUUGAAAGAUUUCGUCAAGGUUGGAUAUCUACCAGAGAAGAGUGUCAUGCAUUACCGCGCUCCUGACCCGGGCAAAAAGAGACCUCUGCCAAAAGACGGUGAAGUCAUUGUAUUCACUGAUCAUAUGAACCGGGGCUUCUCACCGCCCGGCUCUAAGUUCUUUCGAGAUGUUCUGCACUUCUUCAAACUCCAUCCGCAAGACAUUGGACCCAACUCCGUGUCAAACAUCUGUAAUUUUCAAGUUUUCUGUGAAGUAUACCUUCAAGAAGAGCCUAGUGUCGAGCUUUUCAGGGAAUACUUCUAUCUAAACCGGAAAAAUGAGUUCACAAAUGGGCCCAGCUUGGAACUUGGUGGAAUUUCAAUUCAACGCAGAAGAGACGCCAUCUUCCCUCAAGUAGCUCUACCGAUUCACCCCAAGGACUGGAAUUAGACAUGGUUCAAUUGUAAAGAUAUCUCGCCGUCUGAUGAAAAUCAAUUGCCGAGUUAUUGUGUUGAUCGUCUUGACUCAAAUUAUCAACUCCCUGAGAAACUUACUGCCGCCGAACGUAAGAAACUCGUCCCUACUAUCAGAAAAGUCCAAGACCUACUAGGAAAUGGUUUAACCGGAGUUGAUUUCAUCCGAUGCUGGGUCUCAUGGCGGAUCAUACCCUUAAGCCACCGAUCUGGCUUGAUGUGUAAUUACACCAGAGGAACAGACGAUCCAUUACGCCAUAGCUCUCUACGUCUGACUAAAGAGGGCAUUGUUGAAAUGGCAACAACCCUUGUAAAUAGUAAAUUCGAAGACUGCAGCAAAGUGGGUCUGAACCCUUUCUGCACGCUUAACCCGCCGCCAGAUGUAAGUCUCUUGAUUUCCCUUACCUUACUUCAUCAUCCAAAUAUUAUGUGAGCUCAAGUAUGUUACUCUUCCGCAGGCUAAAUCUGACUUCUGGAAAGCAAAAUAUGAUCACGAAGCUGCCAAAAAGGCUAGGGCUACCGCGAAAGCCGCCAAAAAGACCAGCAAGAAACUCAGGAAGAAGUCAAGCGCCUCGGAUCUGCUUAAGCUGGACGAUACCUCUGAGUCAGAGGUAGCCCUUGACUCUUCUGGCUUGUUUUUCAACCACCUUAUUGACACUAACUAUUGCCAAGAUGACACGGGGGCCAGCCAAGCAGUUGAAGAAGAGGUAACUAUUAUUUUCUCCAACUCAGAACCUUUGCCAAGGCAGAAACUUCAGUGAGUAACCCGGAAAGUAUGGUUUUCACACCCCUUGGCUUAUUUAGAUCCUCACUUUCUUUUGAAACGAUAGCAACACGAGAGCCGCCGCCAGACCCGGUCUAGUGGAGGCGAAGAUUUAUCCUCCGGUUUACCAAACACUCCUUGAAAACGCCAAAAUGAGGUUCUUUUUAGCCUUAACUCUUUUAUUUACUGGCAGGUUUCUUUCGUUAGCCACUCAAUUUUUUCAAUUCAAUCUUGCAGGAGAUUUCCCGUUCUUCCUCUGGCGAUUCAUCUCAGACUCAGCUGCCGGCUUUCAAGACUGCCCCUGGGUAAGAAUAAUUACCUUUCUUUACCUUUAUAUCCUCACCAUUAUGUUGACUUGUCUGAAUUAUUUUAGCGGUCAAGCAAAACCCAACAAGAAGGCGAAGGUGACAAAAUCACCCGAAGACCCUAAAGCUGUUGAACCGGACCAGCAAGCUUCUGCACUAGAAGCCUCUGAACAACCAGAAGAUCCUGCUUCCAAUACUCAACCUGAGAUGCCUGAGUUGUCUGUUGAUGAAACCAACAUUGACCCGUCAACUACUGAACCGUCAAGCUCACUUAACCCGCCAGAGACUCAUGCUGAGGACAUUCUGAUCACUGGUACCGGCUUUACUAAAUCAAGGAAUCCAACUGUAUUAGCCAGACAUUCUGCCAAACAGAAAGUCAUGGAGACACGGAAAGUGAGGUUUGAUGUCUCCCACUAUGCUCAGUUGAGUAAUAGUGAAGAUUAUCCGGUUAUCUCAGUCAAGUACACUCUAGCCGUGACUUGGAAAUUGAGAUGGUUAAACAGAUGCAUCAGAAGUAUGAGGUAUGUCAUCCGGCUUACAUAAUCUAGAUAUCCUGCCAGCCCCCAAGUCUUCUGAUUAUGAUAAGAUUGAAUAAUCUGUAGAUUUAAAAAACUUAUAAGCUUCUGUCCUAGACUCCCUCCAAGUCCGGUUGAAAAUUAAACCGGAUGCUGGAAAUAGCAUAAUUCUGCAUUUGUAGUCCCCAAGGGUCGGUUUAAUCAUUAUGAAUGAGCCGGUCCUAGUUAUCACUGUGUAAAAGAGCAGAACUUAACUGCAUAGCCCCCAUGAGUCAGCGGAGACUGUUUACAGCACUCCCGGCUCAUCAUUAGGAAGAUACAAACAAUAUGCAUUAGCCCCCAAGUGCCAAGUGUUGUUGCUUGCAAAGCGCUUGGGACUUUUAGUUAUAAAAGCCGUUUCCGUUGAAAAAUUGCUUUGAUAGACAUUAUCCCCCAAGUGCCAAGUGUUGUUGCUUGCAAAGUGCUUGGGACUUAUAUUGUUGUAAUCCGCCAUGAAGUAUGUUUGAUAAAUCUGUGUUGCAUGCAGGCUGCUACCACUGAAUUGGAAACUCAACUGAACGACACCAAGACCCGGCUGGUGUCUCAGGAAACUAAGACCCGGAAAGCUGAAUCAAAAUUCCAGUUUAGUCUGUCUGAGUCGGAAAAAUUGAAGACUAGUUUUACUGCGGAUAAAAAGGCUUGGGCUGAAGAAAAGACUGCCUUGAUACAGCAUGCUGAGAAGGCAGAGGCGGCUCUUCAGGAGGCUACCACCGAACUCACCAGUUUAAAACACUGUGUGUCUCAGAUGGUUUCUGCUAUCUUCGGUGAGUCGCCUUGUUAUUUAUCCAAAGUAUUUGUCGUCGUAAUGUAAGCCGCCAUUUUAACCAAUCUAUGACUUACUCAGGUCCCAGAAGCAACAACCUUAGCCAAGACACGCUUGUGAAGCUCAAGGCAGUUUAUACUCUUGUUGAGCAAUUAUAUACUGGAGCUCAACGUACAUUGGCUACCAUCUCCCGGCUAAUCAAGGACCCAAUCUGUUAAGCGAUGUGCUGAAGAAAUUAUCCAUCCUGCCCACCAGAAUCCAAGAAAUAAAGCGGUCUUGUGCAAGAGCCGGCGUUGUGACGGCCUUGAGCCGUGCCAAAGCAUGGGUACCGGAAUUAGACCUCGCAGAUGUGGCCAGUGGGUAUCCUAGCUUAAAGGAAGAAGAAACCUCUUUCGAUCAGCAAGACUUUGCCGCCUGUGUCAAAGAGAUUCGUCCUCAUGCAACAGUCAUCGCUGAAGAGACCAAUCUUUCCAUUGUCUCCUACUAGUACUCAGUCUGUUCUAGUAGUAGUUGCAUAACUGCCCGUUUACACUCAAAUGUUGUCGGAUAAUGGUUCUCUAUGGUUGGGUUUCCUUAAUGAAAUCGGAGGGAACCCCCUCUUUCGAUAUGUAAAAAAAUAGUGGCACUAGCGGUGCCAAAACAUUGCCUCAAAUUAAUAGUGCCACUAAAUUAAGGUGCAAAAUAAUAACAUUACUGCUUUAUCAUGGCAGUGCCAAAACAGUAGCACAAGAGCAAGAUCAACAUGCAGGAUCUUUGGCAAACAGUCAUACCAAAAAGGAACAUACCUCGUGAUGGGAACCAUAUCUGCAGUCAACGCCAUCGUAGAAGGGAUGACACCAGUCACCAACAUGGAUGAUUCAAUUCAUGGGACCUUUUGGUGCAGUUCACCUAAAAUGAAGCAAUGUCCCAUGAGCUAGCAGCUUCUUCUUCUUCUUUUAAGAAAAGGGAUCCAGCCCUGGUUCCAUUUCCAUCAGAAAACGAAACCCAUAGAGCUUCUUCUUCAUUAGUUGCAAUAAAAUUGGGCAACAUCAAGGUUGGUCGUGAAGCUCUUGGAAUGUUCAACUAUAAUUUGGAUAUCAUUUGUGCAGUUCAACUAAGAUCAAGCGCGAAAUGUAUAUCUCUGUUUGGACAAAAAGGUGGAAAGGAGGGUGACUAACAAGUGAUGAAACAUGCAUCAAAUGAAAAAAAGCAUGUACCUUAUCUGAAUGGCAAUUGUACAAGGACAAUAGCAAUUUCUAGCAGCAUUGCUACUCCCUCCGUUCCUAAAUAUUUGUCUUUGUAGAGAUUUCAAAUGGACUACCAAAUACGGAUGUAUAUAGACAUAUUUUGAGUGUAGAUUCACUUAUUUUGCUCCGUAUACAGUCACUUGUUGAUAUCUCUAGAAAGACAAAUAUUUAGGAACGGAGGGAGUAGAUAUUAGUGUGGGCAUUAGGAUUAAAUUUGACAACUGUUAAAUACGACAUUACUUUAAUGGUGCCAUUGCUUCAUUUUACCAGCAACAUUAUAUUAACAACUGCUACAGAGUCGGUAUUUGGGCACGGGAGAGUAGGCGGACUAGGACAGUUGCAUCUGUAACGAAAAGAAGCAACUUAUCUUAAUGUGAAAUUUAGCAGGACAUGAAAAAAAGUGCCCUUGAUUCAUAUUACUGGAGGCAUUACAUUGAAAACAACAUUGGUUUAACGUGUCCUUACUUUUAACAGUGCGACUGCUACAUUUUACCAGUGGCAUUACAUAAGAGCGGCUCGGGGUAACAAACAUCAGAAGAGGAUAUCUAGGUUGGUCCCAUUUUUGUUUGGUGUAUAGCCACCUUAUACUGUGUGAGGCUAGCAAAUCUAGUGUUGGACUUACUCUGUUGACUUGUCCCCCAGUCCCCACUUUCUUUCCUUUUUCAACCAAUAGAUCGGGUUUAUAUUGAGUUUGUACUACAUUCCCUUUAUUUCGCUAUUAGACCUAGAGACCAGUUGGAUAGCCAGUCUCUGCUACUUUUCGCCCCUAUUAUUUCCUCUUUCGACCAGGUCCUAGAUUAAGGUAACAAAUCUUCCCUCACCCCCAUCCCCCUUCUUCCUUGUUUGAACCAAGUACUACUAGAUUCGAGUGCAUGAACUAGUUUUACCUCUUAACAGUAAAAAACAUGUGGUUUUCGAACAGCUGAUCGGUCCUAUCUACGAGGGGCCCUGAGAAAUAGUAAAAGAUACAAAUGCAGCGACGUCAGGAGCUCGGGAAGUAGAGCAAGGCCGGUUUCGAAGGAAGUUAUACCUGAGGGUCGCCGGGAUGUCGCUAGGUGGGCGGCGGGAGGCCGGAUCUGCACACACUACGGCAGCGAGGAAGAAGGGGUGGGACACCCUCCCUCGCCAGCGAUGCUUGGGAGAGAACGGCAAGGCACGCUGAUCGGGACGCGCCAGCAGUGGGUAAGAGCCAUCAUCAAGGAUGACUGCGUGAAUGUUGCACCUUCUCACCUUCCCCGACGGAGAGGAUCCGGCUGGGUCUGUGACCAGUGGUGAGUAGAGAGAGUGUGGCCACCGCUGUCGUGUUUAGAUCUGCAGAGGAUGAGACAGUGUGAAGAGAGCAACACUAGCAAGCAAGCGCAGAGGCUCCUGCCUAUAUAGUGGAGUACUAGUUUUCUUUUGUCUACCGGCCGGAGUCGGCUUGACCUUGGCAAUGACUGUCGAGAAGUCUUCAUGCACGUGCCCGGAGGCGCAAUUGUCGUCAUUUUGAUCUGAAGCACCGGAUUAUAACAUAUGACAACAAAAAAUUCCACAUGACAAGAAAUCAUAACCUGACUGCCCAAAGGAGACAAGAUGAAUCCCGACGGACAAACUAGACGAGGAUCAAAGCUCAAAUUAUAGAUAAACUCGUAGAAAAGGGGUCCGUCGAUAGAUGUCCUAAUUAACAUACCCGGCUCGACCUAGAUGGCAGCCGAGUAGUCUUCAUGCAUGUGCCCCCAAUGACUAGCCCAACUCAGUUGUCUCUGUUUAACCCUCGCAGUGAUGUGAAGCACAUGACACCUAACUUUGCGAGAUGACAAGAAACCUUUUUUAGAUUUCUCACCAGAACUACAACCCUAUAUAACACAACAUGCACGAUAUGUAGACGAUAGCCAAUCCAGGCGUGUCUGCUAGAGUCUGGUCACAUGCAUGGACAAACUGAUUUUCCGUGUCUUGCAGGGAUCGUCCAGGUACCAACGUAUGUACUCCUACAACACUUCUCUAGUAGUACUAUCGCUCAUCUCUCUCUUCUAUUAACUCACCCGACUUGUGGGGCCGGGGAGUGUGCCUAUGGUCGGUUCUCAAUUGUGGUCCCACAUGUGUGUGCAAACGCAAUAUGACGCGCAUUCCAUUCGGAGAGCGGCAUGCCAAGCCGACCGACCGUCUGGGGUGCGACGCGAAUGCGACGGGCGUGUUGUAUACUCCGUACAUGUGUACCGCCGUUUUCUUGAGGCUUUUCUCCAUGGCACAAUCCAUGGAUACAAAAUUAGUAUACUGUACUAUUUAAAAGUCGAGGGCGGGGCUUUUCCUGCGUGGUAGGCGGGGCAGUUCCUCCUAGUCGGUUCGAUAGAGACGCAAGAAUAUGAGGGGGUAGGCUGCUGCAAACGUAGGACUGUGUGAUUUGAUAGUGAGUUACUGUUGGACAGGUGGGGCCUGAUGAUUUGACUUGCCAUUAUCAUUUUAAGUGCGGAGCUAUGACUGGUGUGAGUCUCCUGAUUCCUGACCACCUCUGUCAGAUUUCGGGUUCCGGCAGACCCUUGAGGUUCGAACACUGGGGUGCGCGCGGAGAUUUCGCCUCCUACCUACCUGCACCCCUCCGCCAUGCUAGGAUCUAAACUAAGGAAAGAACAACACAAGAGACACAGGGUUUAUACUGGUUCGGGCCACCGUUGUGGUGUAAUACCCUACUCCAGUGUGUGGUGUGGUGGAUUGCCUCUUGGGCUGAUGAUGAUGAACAAUGCAAGGGAGAACAGCCUCGCGAGGGUCUGUUCUUGGCUGAGGCGAUGAACUGCUGGGAGGAGUUCAGCCACCUCUCUCUCUCCCUCUCUCUGCUCCCCUCCGACCGACCCACUUGCUGUUGGGUGGCUGGUCCUAUUUAUAGAGGCCCUGGUCCUCUUCCCAAAUAUUGAGCAGGAAGAGAGCCAACAAUGGCGGGCUAAUUUGAAGGGGGACAACAAGUAUCAGCUAUCCUGACAAAAGUAGUCUUCGCCUGCGCAAAGCUCUGGUGAUGACGCCGUCUUGGGCUCCACGGUAACCUCCAUCUCGUAGUCCUCUUGGUCUUGGUCUCGUUGCACCGAAAUGGCAACCUUUGCCUGAUGCCUCGGUACUCUGCGGCUGCGCUUGCCCCCUUUGCACCAAAGAGGAAAGCAGGACGCUGCGCGGGCUGGCACCCGCCUGGCGCCCUGAGCUGUCAUGGCUUGCGUCAUGGGCACCUCGUGAGGUACCCCGCCUUGAUCUCUCCACCUCCUCGUGAGCCAGCCUGGCGAGGCCGUGCCCGAGGAAGCUUCACGUUGUCCGCCCCGCGAGGCUUGGCCCCUCGCGAGGAUCUUGGGUUUGUGUUGGUGAAGAUGGGCCGUGUUGGGCCCCCCUUUGAGCCACGUCGCAGGCCGCAGGCAGGCAAGUCUGGGGACCCCCGUUCCUAGAACACCGACAGUAGCCCCCGGGCCCAAGGCGUGCCCGGACUUGGCCGUGCAGGGAGGCGGAAGGGCAAGAGCGAAACACCACGGGCCCUAACAGCCUGCGGCCUUGGGCGCCGCGUGGCGGUUUAUUGGAUGUGGGCGUCUCCACUUCCCCAUGGUGCCUCGGCAACUGCACUGACUGGACAAGCCCCUGCAUGCAAAACGGGUCAUGAUUACCUGCGAUCGUGGAGGUCGGCGGUUGGCCUCCGCCGGCUAUAAGUACGGGACGACGUGCGCCCUUCCGGUUCAUCUCCCCUUGCUUCUCCUUCUUCUUCAUGGCCCCAUCGAGGAGGUUCUUGGCCGCGGAGAAGGGGAAGGCUUGCCAGGCAGAGCAUGCCUCUCCCCUGCCCAAGCGCGGCCGAGGGCGCCCCCGCAAACAUCCUGUGGCCACCACGGCAGCUCCCCGCGGCCGCGGAGACGCUUUCCAGUGCGGUGGCGGGCGGAUUGCUGCGGCCGGGGGGUGCGCUCCGGCUGCGCGUCCCCCUAUGCCGCGCUUUCGCGCUGCAGAGGUGCUGCCGGAGUUCGUUGUGUGGUCGGCGGAGCCGACUAGCACCCGGCUCCCACUUCCUCGCUUCCUCCUCGGCGAGCUCCCGGCCGGCGCCCUGGGCGGCCUCUGGCUUCAGGCCGUCGGCUGCUGCAGCCGGGCCUCAUGGGUUUCACUGGAGGUCUCCGCAGCCGGGAGCCUGGCCCUGGCCCGCGGUUGGCAGACGUUUGCCCGCGCGCGUGGCCUGGGCUGUCGGUGCACCCUAUACUUCAGGUUCGACGGUGAUGCCACCCUCUACGUGAGGGUGUUUGGGGAAGAUGGUCACCGCGCAGGGUGUUGCCCCGAGGGCGACGACCGCGGCUGGGAACCCGGCUCCGGCGAUGAUGGAGACGACGGCGCUCGCGGGGCUGGCGGUGCUUAGGGUUCCUCAAGCUUCUCCGGUUCUUCUUCAAGCGGCGACUCUCCUAGUGGUGGCCGCAGCCAGCCCCCACGCCGUCGUAUCUGCUUGGGGGGUGGUGGCGCGUCCGCCCACCGUCGCGCCAUGGUGAAGCGCGAGAGGGAGUCUGCCUGAGCUCCGGAGGCAGCUCGGGCUUCCCUACGGGCCGGUGCGAGACGAGCCGCACCAGAUUUGUUUUUUUCUCUUCCCUUUUCCUGCAUAAAGAAGGACAGCAGUGUGGUGCCCCGCGGGGGCGUGUAUGGGUUAUUGCUGUUAAUUAUAGUUUUGCUUUCUUCAUCGUACCUUCCGACUAUGUGUCCGCGCGUGGAUGGUUCCCGGCCCCAGCCGUGGGGGCGACCGACCCAGGCCCUGUGUUUGUGUCGCGGUGCCCGAGGGGCACGGACUGGAGGGGUGCUCCUGCAAGGGGCCCAGGUCGCGAACCCUUUGAGUGACUAGGAUAGGAAGACUCGUGAGGGCGCUCGGCUCUCCCCCUCGCGAGGCCUUGCACAAGAGAAAUCGAGGCAGGAGCGUGAAAAGCCGAAGAACCACGAGCCAAAGACGGCAACAACUUCAAUAAAACUUCAAAUGGAGAAGAACCAGCCAACUGCAGAAAGCAAAUGAAAAGCCGCGUCCGACACCUAGUCUAGUCGUCGACGUCUUCUCACCAGCGCGGAGCUAAGUGCUGCCACUGGGCGUGGGAGGGAGCCCCAGGGCCUGAGGCCGGCGCUCCUGAGACUCCAGGGCGUGUACAGCCCCAACUCAUUAUUACGUGAGAGUGUCACGGGCGGCGAGCUUCACAGGCGUUCGCCUUGCUUCACAGGCUCCGGGCCUUUUCCGAAACGCGAUAGCUUCACAGGCAUUCGCCUUUCUUCACAGGCUCUGGGCCUUUUCCAAAACGCGAUAGCUUCACAGGCAUUCGCCUUGCUUCACAGGCUCCGGGCCUUUUCCAAAGCGCGAUAGCUUCACAGGCAUUCGCCUUGCUUCACAGGCUCCGGGCCUUUUCCAAAGCGCGAUAGNNNNNNNNNNNNNNNNNNNNNNNNNNNNNNNNNNNNNNNNNNNNNNNNNNNNNNNNNNNNNNNNNNNNNNNNNNNNNNNNNNNNNNNNNNNNNNNNNNNNNNNNNNNNNNNNNNNNNNNNNNNNNNNNNNNNNNNNNNNNNNNNNNNNNNNNNNNNNNNNNNNNNNNNNNNNNNNNNNNNNNNNNNNNNNNNNNNNNUAGCUUCACAUGCAUUCACCUUGCUUCACAGGCUCCGGGCCUUUCCAAAACGUGAUAAGUUCACAGGCAUUCACCUUGCUUCACAGGCUCCGGGCCUUUUCCAAAGCGUGAUAGCUUCACAUGCAUUCGCCUUGCUUCACAGGCUCCGAGCCUUUUCCAAAGCGCGAUAGCUUCACAGGCAUUUGCCUUGCUUCACAGGCUCCGGGCCUUUCCAAAACGCGAUAACUUCACAGGCAUUCGCCUUGCUUCACAGGCUCCGGGCCUUUUUAGGGGUAGAACCUCCAGAGGUGCUGGAUGUUCCAUGCGUUCUAGACUGGCACUCCCUCCUGAGUCUCCAAGCGCGCUGAGCCGAGCCUGGAAACAUGAACAACCUUGAAAGGGCCCUCCCACAUGGGAGAGAGCUUGUGCAGCCCCUCCCUGGAGAGGACCCGCCUGAGCACGAGGUCUCCUACCUCGAGUGUCCUGGGGCGGAUGUUGCGGCAGUGAUAUCGCCGCAGCGCUUGUUGGUACCUCGCCGCUCGUAGCGUGGCUUCUCGGCGACGUUCCUCCCCCAGCACGAGGUCCAUCCCCCGCAUGGCGUCCUGUUGCGCCUCGUUGAACGCCAGGACCCGCGCGGAGCGACGUCUGACCUCGUGAGGGAGGACCGCUUCGGCUCCGUAGACCAGGAAGAAUGGGGUCUCCUCAGUCGGCUUGGUCGCGGUUGUGCGGAUGGACCACAACACAGACUGAAGCUCGUCAUACCAACCUCUGCCGCAGGCCUCCAGCUUCUUCUUGAACGUCUUGGUCUUGAGGCCCCUCAGGACCUCCGCAUUGGCUCGCUCGGCCUGGCCGUUGCUUUGGGGGUGCGCCACUGAAGCGUAGCAUAUCUGCGUUCCAAGGUUAGUACAGUAUGUUUUGAAGAGGUUACUGGUGAACUGUGAACCGUUGUCCGUGAUGAUGCGAUUCGGCACCCCAAACCGGCUCACGAUGCCCUUGAUGAACUUGACCGCGGAACCCGCAGGAAUGGUGCGGACAGCCUCCACUUCAGCCCACUUGGUGAACUUGUCUACAGCAACGUAAAGGUAGCGGUAGCCCCCUGGCGCCUGAGGAAACGGACCCAAGAUGUCGAGCCCCCAGACUGCGAAUGGCCACGAAAGGGGGAUAGUCUGCAAGCCCCCUGCCGGCUGAUGGAUCUGCUUGGCGUGGAACUGGCAGGCCUCACAAGCUUUCACUAGUUCAAUGGCGUCAUUGAGCGCGGUGGGCCAAUAAAACCCACUGCGGAACGCCUUGCCGACGAGGGUCCGUGACGAUGAAUGAUGUCCGCAGUCCCCGCCGUGUAUAUCUUCCAGUAGUUCCUUCCCUUGCUCCCUGGAGAUGCAGUGCAGGGAUACAUCAUUUGGUCGCUUCCGGUAGAGCUCUCCAUCUCUGAUGUAGUAUGCCGUGGCCUGGCGUGCCACUCGCUCUGCUUCCUCCUCCUUCUCCGGCAGGGUCCCUUGCGUCAAGUAGCUCCGGAGCUCCAUGAUCCAACAUCCCUCCUGAGGUUCCAUCGCCAGGAGCAGGCGUGCUCCUGAGGCCGGGCCACAGGCCGGAGCUCCAGAGGCAGGUGGCUGGGGGAGCUCCUCCCGGGGCUGAGUCGUGUUUGAUAGUGACGGCAAGGCUGAAGGCUUGAAGAGCCGUUCCUCGGAAACGCCAGGCUCCUGAGGUAACCGCCUGGAUGCGCGUUUGGCGAUGUCAUCGGCCUCUUGAUUGGUGCCACGGGGCACAUGCUGGAACUCCAACCCCCAGAACUGCUUCUCCAUCCUGCGGACCUCUGCAAGGUAGGCCUCCAUGUGCUCAUCCUUCGGCUCGUACACCUUGUUGGAGAAAUUGACAAGGAGCUGCGAAUCUCCCUUGAUGGUGAGGCGUUUCACCCCCAGGGCAGCUGCGGCCUUCAAGCCCGCUAUUAAUCCUUCAUACUCCGCUAUGUUGUUGGAGACCUUUUCGCCUUGCUGGAAACAAAGCUGCACGGCGUAAUAGAGUUUGUCCUGGGUGGGCGAUAUAAGCACCGCCCCAGCCCCUGCGCCGUGUCUGGAGAACGCCCCAUCGAAGUACAUGACCCAGCCUUCUGGCGCCUCGCUUCCCAGGGACAGGGACCGAUCCUCGUCGGCCUUGAGGCCUGGCGCCUCCGUCCAUUCUACCACAAAAUCCGCUAACGCUGCUCCCUUGAUGACUCUGGUCGUGCUGAAUUCGAGCUGAAACGCUUGUAGCUCUAUGUUCCACUCAGCGACUCUCCCAGCUGAAUUGGGGCUCCUGAGCACCCUCUCCAGGGGGUAUGACGAGACGACCUUGAUGGGGUGACCCUGAAAAUAGUGCCGCAGCUUGCGCGAGGCCACCAGUAGCGCGAGGAGGAGUUUCUGGGGCAAAGGGUACCGCGCCCUUGCAUCCCGCAACACUGUGCUGACGAAGUACACUGGGUGCUCAACGAGGUGGAGUGCGUCAGUGCUGGCGGCUCCCUUUGGAGACCAUGGCGCCUCUCGAGACAAUGAGGCCUCCUAAGACUGGCCAUCUGGGAGAGGGGCCUCUCCUGCCUCUGGUGUGCCCCUCUGCGGUGGCUGGUCCUCAUCAGAUGCCGUGGUGGCUUCUGUGGGCCUUCCUCGUACCAGCUCCGCCUUGUCCUGGGCUGCUGCCGCGGUUUUGAUUCGACGCUCCUCUCUGACUGCCACCAGGGCUGCGCUGGCGGAGUAGGGAGUGGCGGCGAGGUAAAGCACCAGGGGCUCUUGAGGGCGUGGAGCCACCAUGACCGGUGGGCUGGUCAGGUAUUUCUUGAGAUCUUGGAAUGCCUUGUCGGCCUCUUCAGUCCACUCGAAGGGCCCCUUUUUCUUCAUUAGCUGGAAGAAGGGUAGCGCUCACUCCCCCAACUUGGAGAUGAAGCACCCUAGCGCGGUCACGCGCCCCGUGAGCUUCUGCAUUUCUCUGAGAGUCUUUGGCAGGCUCAUGUCUUCCACUGCCUUGACCUUCUCCGGGUUAGCCUCGAUGCCUCGGUGAGAUACAAGGAAACCCAAGAGCUUGCCCGAGGGGACUCCGAACACACAUUUCUCCAGGUUGAGCCGUAGGUUCACUGCGUUGAGGCUCGCAAAGGUUUCCUCCAGGUCUUAUAUCAAGGUCCUGGCCUCCCGAGAUUUUACCACGAUGUCAUCGACGUAAGCUUCAACAUUCUUCCCGAGCUGCGGGCCCAAGGUGAUAUGCACCAGCCGCUGAAAGGUCGCCCCUGCGUUACGCAGCCCGAAUGGCAUGCAGGUGUAGCAGUACACCCCACACGGGGUUAGGAAGGCUGUCUUCUCGACGCCUUCAACCGCCAUCUUGAUCUGAUGAUACCCAGAGAAGGCAUCCAGGAAGCAUAGCAGGUCGCAUUCCGCAGUGGAGUCGACGAUCUGGUCGAUGUAGGGGAGCGGGAACGGAUCUUGCGGGCACGCUUUGUUGAGGUUGGUGAAGUCUACACACAUGCGUUCCUUCCCUCCCUUCUUUGGCAUAAUGACAGGGUUGGCCAACCAAUCUGGGUAUCAGACCUCACGAAUGACCCCAGCAGCCUCUAAUUUGCGGGUCUCUUGGAUGAUGAAGGCCUGCUUUUCUGUGGACUGCCGCCUGGCCUUCUGCUUCACAGGGCGCACGUUGGGGCAUACGUUGAGGUGAUGCUCGAUUGCACUCCUGGGGAUCCCUGCCAACUAGUCUGGCUCCCAAGCGAAUACCUUCUUGUUUGCGUGCAGGAACCCGACCUGGGCCUCCUCCUGCUCGGGUUUGAGGUGGGCGCCUAUGGUGAAAGUGGCAUUGGUGGAUCCGUCCUCAUCGACGGGUAUCUGCUUGGUUUCUGCCUUGUCUUGGGUGAACAACUGUUUCUUCUUGGCGGGCGCAGCCCCCUUGGGCUCAGGGGCCUCCAAGGCGGCAGGCUGUGCCAACGCCGCUGUCUUGAAGACGAGCUUGAGCACCCGCAGAGCUUCCCCAGUGUCCCCGUGCAUGGUGAGGACACCGCUGCUCCCGGGCAUCUUCAUGAGGUUGUACGCCGGGUGCGUCGCGGCCAUGAACUGGGCCAGCGCCGGGUAGCCGAGGAUGGCGUUGUAGGGGAGGCCGAUGGGGGCGAUGUCGAAGUCGACCAGCUCCGUGCGGAAGUUGUCGUAGGUGUCGAAGGUCACUGGGAGCCGGAUCUGUCCCAAGGAGCCGGACGACCUAUCCCCAAUGCCUGAGAAGGGCCGACUGGGCUGCAGCCGUUCCAGGGGUAUGCUGAGGAGGUUGAAGGCCUCGACUGAGAGCACGCUGAGGCCUGCCCCGCCAUCGAUGAGAGUUCUGGUGACGGCCACCUGGCAGAUGGUGGGGGUGCACAGCAUGGGGAGCGCGCCCGAGUAGGCCGAGUUGGAGGGGUGGUCCUCCGAGCUGAAGUUCAGGCCGGUCUCAGGUGCCGCCCGAUCCAGGGGAGCCCCCUGCCGCGUGGAAGCGGCGCUGACCCGGCGGAUGAACGGCUUGACGUGGUAACUUGUAGGCGGCGCCUGCGAGCCACUCAAGAGGGCCGCGACGACUAGGGGUGUCGGUGCAGCGCGAUAGGCGGGGGAGAGGUUGCGGGGCCCCAUGGGCGCGCGGAGCGCGUGGGACGAAGAACCGGAUGGGGCGAGCGAGGGAGUUGUGGUGCGGCCGUCUUGGCGCACGGAUGGAUGCUGAGGCGAUGCUUGCUGCCCGUCUCCCGUCGGGCCGGUGGCGGCGUUGACGGCAGGUGAUGGGGAACGGCAAGGACGUCAGCCGACAGGGGCCGUUUGGGCGACGCGGGAAGCAAGGGCGGCCAGGCGCUCCGCGCGGGCCCGACGAGGUUCAGACAUGAGCGCGAUGGUCGGAGGAGAACAGGGUAACGGAAGACGAAUUCCUGCGCACCCCUACCUGGCGCGCCAAAUGUUGGAUUUCGGGUUCCGGCAGACCCUUGAGGUUCGAACACUGGGGUGCGCGCGGAGAUUUCGCCUCCUACCUACCUGCACCCCUCUGCCAUGCUAGGAUCUAAACUAAGGAAAGAACAACACAAGAGACACAGGGUUUAUACUGGUUCUGGCCACCGUUGUGGUGUAAUACCCUACUCUAGUGUGUGGUGUGGUGGAUUGCCUCUUGGGCUGAUGAUGAUGAACAAUACAAGGGAGAACAGCCUCGCGAGGGUCUGUUCUUGGCUGAGGGGAUGAACUGCUGGGAGGAGUUCAGCCACCUCUCUCUCUCUCUCUCUCUACUCCCCUCCGACCGACCCACUUGCUGUGUGGGUGGCUGGUCCUAUUUAUAGAGGCCCUGGUCCUCUUCCCAAAUAUUGAGCGGGAAGGGAGCCAACAAUGGCGGGCUAUUUUGAAGGGGGACAACAAGUAUCAGCUAUCCUGACAAAAGUAGUCUUCGCCUGCGCAAAGCUCUGGUGAUGACGCCGUCUUGGGCUCCACGGUGACCUCCAUCUCGUAGUCCUCCUGGUCUUGGUCUUGUUGCACCGAAAUGGCAACCUUUGCCUGAUGCCUCGGUACUCCGCGGCUGCGCUUGCCCCCUUUGCACCAAAGAGGAAAGGAGGAUGCUGCGCGGGCUGGCACCCGUCUGGCGCCCUGAGCUGUCAUGGCUUGCGUCAUGGGCACCUUGUGAGGUACCCCGCCUUGAUCUCUCCACCUCCUCGUGAGCCAGCCUGACGAGGCCGUGCCCGAGGAAGCUUCACGUCGUCCGCCCCGCGAGGCUUGGCCCCUCGCGAGGAUCUUGGGUUUGUGUUGGUGAAGAUGGGUCGUGCUGGGCCCCCCUUUGAGCCACGCCGCAGGCCGCAGGCAGGCAAGUCUGGGGACCCCUGUUCCCAAAACACCGACAACCUCCAUACAGGUGCCUCUCCCGAUGCUCCACCAUGUAGAGGCUGGCUCUUGCUUGAGAGCCCACUCCUGCACUUUUUCCUUGCCUCUUUCCCCCACAUAUGCAAAAAUGCCAUGUAAAGCAGGCUUAUAGCCCACUAUUGUACUUGAUCCUACAGGUGCUAAGCCUGCCACAUAGGCAUAAAGUCUGAUGUGGCAAGUUAAUUAAGAAGAGAGAGACUCGUUUGGUGACCCCAAGAAGAAACGGUGAUAAGCGCGUGUACCUAGAUGAAGCAAACUUAGCAACAACAAACUAACCACCUAUGCAUUGGGGACUUGAGUUGCUAAGCCAUUUAAUGCCCAUAGCACCUCAUCUAAGCACCAUUUCAUUGGAAGAGGUCACUCCUUGGCAAAUGCAAUAAAUACUACGAAGAAAGAGAUAGAGAGAACUAAACAAAAAAUACUCCUAUAGCCAACCUUAUAGCUAACCUUGUUGUAUGAGUGACUAAGUGAUGACUAUGUAUGACAUGCCAACAUCAGAUAGCCUAAUGCACCGUGUUAAAUCUCCAAGGGUGCGACCGUGUGAGCAAGGCGACGGUCGUGGUAGGCGCGACCAUGAUACGGGCUGCUGGCGGCCCUUGGAUCUGAGAUCAAACGGUCGCAUGCUAAGUUGCUGAAAAUUUGCAGAAUAACCCUCCAGGAUAGGAUAUUCACCCAUAGGUCUAGAAUCUCGCCAUGCAACCGUUCGACAUUUUUACAAUCGAUAAACCACUCCUAGUCGUCUCGUCCUUUCACAUUACGGCAGUUCCACUAAUCCUAACCCUCCUCCGAAAUCCAUGGCGUCCCAAAUCUCCAUGAUCGGCGGUGAGUACAAGGUUAGAACCAUCACCGGUGAUGAGUUCGACGUCAUCUACACCCGUUCUUCUGUAAGGGUGAAAGAAUGCCUUUCUUGCUUCAAACGCAUGUUCGAAAACUCAAAUGAUGAGUGGGUCGCUGGGCUAGAUGUUGAGUACACCAUAGUCCUGGGAAGCGAGAAGAAUCUAAAGGAGGCAGAUAAGAAGAAGCCCACCGUGAUCCAGGUUUGCGUGCAUGACUUAUGCUUGGUCUACCACAUAUGCCAUGCCGACAUUGAGUGCGAGGAAUUUAAGAAGUUCCUCAAGGGUGGCCGAAUCAAAUUCGUUACUAUAGACUUUAGGAAUGACAAGGAAAUCCUGGGUCGGAUAGGCCUUGUUGUAGGCGACCCCUUCGACCUCCAGAAGGAAGGGCUGGUGCCCUCCCUUGAUCAGCCUUCAAUGCUGACCCUGGCAGGAGCCAUGGUUCAUCCUUCGUACGGUGAACUGAAGAAACCUCCACGUACGUUUCAUCAUGCAUGGCAGUGGACUGUACUAGAUAUAGACCACAUCCACUACGCUGCAAUGGAUGGCUGCCUUUGUUUCAAUAUCUACAAGGGUUGGAGGAAGAGCAAGAGCCAAGUGUGUGGUUCAAGCAAAGAAGUAUCGCCCCAGAGGAAGAGGGACAAGGACGAAGUCGAGGACGUGGACGAGGACUCCGAGUAAGGUGGCAGUGUCGUUGCUCAUGGUGGUUCUAAUGCACUGUCUACCGGAUUAGUUGCUUAGUUUAAUUUCUGGUGUGCUUAGUUUUAUUUGAGGGGUGUGUUGUGCUGAGCCCCCAGCAGAACUAUGUUAUGUUUCUUCUCGUUAUAUUUCGUACAUUUCAUCUUUUAGUUGGUAUAGUACUACCACUCGUUUCUUCACCUUAUAUACGUACAAUAUAUAUGGCCAACAUCAUAUAGCCAGCAGUUUAGUUGUCAAAGAAUUUCAGGGUGCUUAGUUUUGUCAAAGAAUUCCAGGGUGCUUAGUUUUGUCAAAGAAUUCCAGGGUGCUUAGUUUUAUUUGAGGGGUGUGUUGUGCUGGACACCAUUAACUUAUCAUUGUGAGAAUCGGCUUAUUUUUGUCAUGUAACAUGGUCAAUGGGUUUGACGUGAAAAUAACAAUGUCUAAUGGCAUUUCUGAGCAAACAUCUAACUUAACGAUUGCACUUUUUAGAUAUCUAAUUGCAUUUUUGAGCAGGCAUCUCAUGGAUCGAUGGCAUUUUUUGAGUAGUUGUAACUUCUAAUGGCAAAACUGAGUAGUGAUACACAACUAGUGGCAUAAAUAAUGGGAACCCAAGAAUUAAAUAGGUAUGCUAAUUUCUUUAUUUCUUUAUACCUUUGUGUGCGAAACAAUAUACGCUGCCUCCCCCAGAUUUUCUUUACAGAGGCAACAUAGAACUAUAUGAGUGCCAUGUUAAAUUUUGGAAUUAUUCCAGGUUCGUUUGGCUUUUUUAUACAUUAAUUGAGUUUCUGGUCAUUUAAUGUGCAUAAUUCAAAUUUGAACUACAAGCACAUGCUCCCAUGCACCAAAGUUGAUUGAAAAUUCACAUGUGUGCCCUCGGGUGAAUUUCUAGGUCCCAUGCAAUAAAUGGGAAUGAAAUUCAAACAUCUGGGCAUCGUGGUUCGACCGAGAACAUUGAGAAGCUUGGUUUUAAAAUUCUUGUAAAUCCAAAACACGCCUGAAAAUCAUGAAACUUGGCAUGGUGUCAUGUCAUGGUACUACCAUGUUGUGGUAAAAAAAUUGUAGAAUAGGAACAAGUUUUGGUAUAAGUUUCUUGUAAACCGGAGCUUCUCUCAAGAAGGCUCAUGGUUCUGAGAGGGAACGUGUCACCUUUGUGUGCCUAAUUCAAAUUUUAAAUACAAGCACAUGCUCCUGUGCAUCAAAGCUGGUUGAAAAAUCACAUGUGUGUCCUCGGGUAAAUUUCUAGGUCCCAUGCCAGAAAUGGAAAUGAAAUUCAAACUUCUGGGCGUCAUGGCUCGGCUGGAAACAUUGAGAAACUUGGUUUUGUAAUUCCUGUAAAUCCGAAACACGCAUGAAAAUUAUGAAACUUGGCUUGGUGUCAUGACAUGGAACCAACAUACUUUGGUAAUUUUGCUGUCCGAUUUGCGAAGGUGCACACAUUAACAAUCAACAAAGUCAUUUUGGAACAAGUGUUGUCACGUUACAAUCGGAAACACAAGUAUUAUUGAAACCGUGGGCGUUCUAUUUACCAUUUACGUGCCACCACACGUCCCCUUUUUUAUUCGCUAGGAGGCGCCGUGCAGGGUAGCUAUUUGAGUACGGGAGGCGUGCUAGCCAUUUGACCUCCAUCUGCCGUCCACCUCUCUCCCAAGGUCUCCAUUAAUGGCGCUCGAGUCUCUGUUUAAUGGCGUGGCAAUGUCUCACUCGACUGAGAUUUAAGAGAGAAAAAAGAAAAUCUGAAAAUAAAAUUUUGCACGGAUCUUGAUGUAAGAUCCGACGGACCUAUAUAGCAUCUACUUCGACUUAUAGCAAGACUGAUGAAUAUAUAUAAGGACGACGAGGGUGGAUAACAAUUGUCUUACAUAAUUAGGAAGAUAAUUAAAAAAGGCACAUGCGGAUAUGCCCGAAAUACACAAGGGCAAAAGAAGAAGGAAGACGCAUACAAUGAUCUGGCUCGCUGAUCUCUACUUUCUUUAUGCGAUGCAGGUCGCGGAUACUAGUUCUCGCGGCGGGCGAUGAUCUCUUUCAUCAGUUUCAUGUCCUUAAUAUGCUGCUUGGCAGCAUCCAUGGAUUCCUCCACCAGCCUGUUGCGCUCGAUGCGGAGCAUGGCAUUCUCGUCCAUAAAUUUCUUGAUGAUGACAUCUGUCCUCUGCAACAAGGCAGCGGUCUCCUCCUCCUGCUUUGCCCUUCCGGUGAUCUUCGCCCUCAGCAGGUUGCGCUCGCCCCGGAGCUUCGCAUUGCCCUCCCCUAGUUGCCGGAUGACGCUGGUAGCCUCGUCCUGCAACCUCACCCAGCCGGAGAUCUGAUCCAUCUGGCUAUGGACCAUUGCAUGCAUGCGCCUGUAAGAGUCCUCGCCUGCCCGCGAGAAAUUUUCCCAGGCCGCCGCGGCGCGGCGAGACCUCCGUGCUACUUCUGCGGUGCGGCGACACAUCUCUGCUGCUUCCGUGGUGUGGCCGGACCAGUCUGCUACAUCGAUGGUGCGGCGGGACCUCCGUGCUACUUCGGCGGUGCGGCGGGACCUCUGUGCUUCUACUGCUACGCGGCUGGACAUGUCGGUUGCUUUCGCGGCGAGGUGGGACAUCUCUCGUGCUUCCCCUUCCAUGCUCACCUCUCCCUUGUGGAAAUCUCUCGACCUAGAACUCACGCUGGCUAUGGUUUGAUUGACUUGAUUGUUUUUUGUGGAUGAGGAGUUGAGGAGGAAUGUGCAGUCAUCUUAGCAUAGUAGUAUUUAUAACCGAGUACUACUAAUACGCUCCUAAGUGGGAAACCGUUUAGGUUGUGAUCGGUGUGAACAGUUUGCAAUUAAAUAUAGCGUGGUAGUAGUAGUAAUUUGGAAUGUGACAAGACGCGCUCAAAAUUUAUUGACGGUUCUAGUUUCGAAGUGCGGCACUAUUCCCGGAUGGCGUAACGUCAGCACGUUUUCUCGGCCAUGGUAUAGCACAUGCCAUGGUACUAGUUCUUUUUCUACUGCUGUGUACGUGCAAAAACUGGCACCGUCGGAUACAUAUCUUACGCUUGGCGUUCGACAAGAAUAGCCUCGUGGCGAGCUAUAGACUAGUCUUUUUUCAGAAGCAUUACACCUAUCUAUCGGGACUUCUCGCACGCACCAUCCACUACUAGAAAAAGGGCUAUAGAUGGGAUUGACACUAAUGGCAAACCAGACAAGCGGUGCGCCAUUAGUAUAUACUAAUGGCGCACCACCUUAUGAUACGCCAUUAGAGCUGAAACUACUAAUGGCGCACCUGGCCCAGGGUGCGCCAUUAGUAUCAAUUUUUUUUCUGAACUAGUGUGCCUGUCCAAACAUACUAAUGGCGCAUCCAGACACAGUGCGCCAUUACUAGUUGUAACUAGUAAUGGCGCACCUGUCGGAAAGUGCGCCACUAAUGUUGUUUUUUUUAUUAUAUUUUUAUUCCUGCGCCAUUACUAGUUUAAACUAGUAAUGGCGCACUGCGGAACAGUGCGCCAUUAGUAUGUUUUUUUUGCAAAACUACUAAUGGCGCACCACCAGAAGGUGCGCCAUUAGUAACCUGGAUUACUAAUGGCGCAUUUAGAGUUGGUGCGCCAUUAGUAAGUGGGCAGCAACAAGAUAUUUUGGACAGCCUCUCCUACCCACACUCACUUUCUCCCCACUUCAUUCUCUCCACCUCCUCCUUGUCUCGGGUGCCUCCUCUUUUUCACCUCAUUUCCACCAUAGAUUCAUUCAAUUUAAGUGGUUAAAUUACCUUGUUUUGAUAGGUAAGUAAGGGGGGAAGCUAUAUUUAUGUUGUUCUCCCUACAACAAUGUGCACAUGCACUUUUUAUGGACUAGCUAGAUCUAUGUAUGUUCGUGGUGUUGCAUAUGUUUGUGGUGUUGCAUAUGUGUUUGUGUUUGGAGGUGUACCGGUAUUUGAAAUGCGAUAGUUGCCAAUAUUUUUCCGGAAAUUGAUUCAUUUCCGUUUCGGCGAGAAUUUUGGCAUUAAGCAUUCUUUUUGGUCCUAUUUUUAGGGAAAGUCAUGCCAAAUUUUUUCUUGGUUCUAAAAUAUCGUUUUGCUCUACCCCGCAGGCGACCAUGGUCCGCACGAUGACCGAAGGCAUCGUGAAUAGGUUUUUGAGGUCCGCGAAGGCCGAGAUGCUUCAAAAGAACGAGACGGAGAUAAGAUGUCCGUGUCGAAGAUGCAAGCUGAAGAGCCUUAUUGCGGACCCGGAAUCCGGGCAGGUGCGGGACCACCUGCUCUUGCAUGGUUUCAUGGAUGGCUAUCAGUGGCAAGGUGAUGAAGAUGACUACGAAGUCGUCCAUGGGGGCCGGGCAAGAAAUGACGAAGGGCAGCAAGACAAACACCGCGGCUCGGGCAGGCGAGAAUACGAAGAAUCCCCAGGAGAUGAUCACGACAGUGAUGUUGUACACAAUCAUCAUGUAGAAGAUGCAGGACAUGAUGAUGAGGAAGAUGCCGGAGCAGACGACGGGCAUGAUCAUGAAGAUGAUGAUGCCGGCGGAGCAGACGAUGCUGGACCAUCGAUGGGCUGGGUGCAGGACCCUCAUAUUCAAGAGCUGCUUCUCAAGCAGACGGAUAACGCAAGAGCUGCCGCCCGAGAGAAAGCCAAGAUGGAUCAACUUGAGUUAGACGCGGUUACUCCAUUGUAUGAAGGAUGCAGGCCCAAGGAUACCCGCCUGAAAGUAACGCUCAUGGCUCUGGAGAUGAAGGUAAAACACAAAAUGACCGACGCAUGCUUCGACGAGAACAUGUCAUUCUGGCACGAACGUCUUCCCAAGGGGAACAAGUGCCCGACCAGUUUGGAGGAGGCAAAGAAAAUCGUGUGUCCUCUAGAUUUACCACACGUGAAAUACCAUGUGUGCAUGAACAAUUGCAUCAUUUAUCGGGACGAGCACGCGGAGUCUACCAUAUGUCCGGUGUGCGGCGUCACUCGAUACAAGAAGAGGAAGAAAGCUCCUCGAAAAGUGGUGUGGUACUUUCUGAUCACUCCUCGUCUGCAGCGGUAUUUCGCGGACCCUAAGGUAGCAAAGCUCCUGUGUUGGCACGCGGAUAGGGAGGAGAAGAAGCGAGAAGAUGACGCAAAUGAUCCGGAGAUAGAUAAAAAAGACAAGAUGUUGAGUCACCCUAAGGAUGCGAGCCAGUGGCAAGCGUCGAACUUCGAAGACCCAGAAUUUGGGAACGAUCCAAGGAACAUCGUGCUGGGCGCGAGCACCGAUGGAGUCAAUCCGUUUGGUAGCCAGAGAAGCACACAUAGCACCUGGCCUGUGUUUGUGUGGAUGUACAACCUUCCCCCCUGGUUGUGCAUGAAGAGGAAGUACAUUCACAUGAGUAUGCUAAUUGAAGGACCGAAACAACCAGGGAACGACAUCAAUCUGUAUCUGGGGCUGCUGAAAGAGGAGCUUGACACGCUGUGGAAAACGCCAGCCAAUACGUGGGAUGCCGCAGAGAAAGAAUAUUUCCCUAUGAGAGCCGCGCUGCUCACGACGGUGCACGACUAUCUCGGUUACGGAUAUGUCGCGGGGCAGGUGGUCCACGGAUUUUCUGGAUGCGUCAGGUGCAUGGAUGACACAACGUAUCGCCAGCUAGAUAGAGAUCCCGGGUCUUCGAAAACCGUGUUCAUGGGACAUCGAAGGUGGCUUCGCGACGAUGACCCGUGGAGAAAACGCAAGGAUCUGUUCGAUGGUGAAACCAAACCCCGAGGACGCCCGCGUACGAGGAGCGGCGAGGAAAUAGACGAGCUGUUGAAAAAUUGGAAAGACUGCCCACUACCAGGAAAGAAGCAAAAGGUGCCAGAGCUGGGAAAGAAGCGAAAGGCGCUAGAGCCGCUGCUGAAGGUAUGGAAAACGAGAUCUGUUUUCUGGGACUUGCUGUACUGGAAGAUCCACCGUGUGCCUCACAGCCUUGAUGUCAUGCAUAUCACGAAGAACGUGUGCGAGAGUCUGCUUGGUACCCUGCUCAACAUGCCAGAGAGGACCAAAGAUGGGCCGAAAGCAAGGGCAGACUUGAAAUCAAUGGGCAUCAGGCAGGAGCUUCACGCUAUAUAUGAUGAUGAUGAUGAUAAUGAUGAUGAUGAGGCGAAGCAGGACACGGAAAGUCGUCGCAAAGGCAAAAAGGCCAAGAAGACCGGAAAUGACUACCCUCCUGCGUGCUUCACUCUAAGUCAGGAGGAGAUCGAGCAGUUUUUCACCUUCCUCGUAGGAGUAAAACUUCCUUAUGAUUACGUGGGGAAGAUAAGCAGAUACCUAGACCCAGCGAAGCUGAAGUUCAGUGGGAUGAAGUCUCACGACUGUCACGUGCUGAUGAUGCAGAUACUUCCAGUUGCAAUCCGUGGGAUCAUGGACGCGCACGUCCGUGAAACCCUAUUUAGCCUACGCAACUUUUUCGACGUCAUCUCUCGGAAGUCUGUUGGCGUGAGGCAACUCAGAAGGCUACAGGAAGAGAUCGUGGUGAUACUAUGCGAGCUUGAGAUGUACUUCCCGCCCGCAUUCUUCGACGUUAUGGUGCAUCUGCUGGUCCAUAUUGUGGACGAUAUCAUCCAACUCGGGCCGAUGUUCCUGCACAGCAUGAUGCCGUUCGAAAGGAUGAAUGGUGUCAUCAAAGGAUACGUUCGCAACAUGUCACGUCCAGAGGGAAGCAUAGCCAGGGGCUUUCUGACCGAAGAGUGCAUCUCCUACUGCACGAAUUAUUUAGGCAUCGAGAACCCCGUUGGUCUGCCCGUCAACAGGCACCUCGGCAGGCUCGCUGGAUGGGGUCACCGUGAGGGUCGCCGCGAAAUGCAUGUCGACUUCGAGGGUCGACUCGCCGACUUUGAAAGAGCAAACCUAGUCGCGCUACAACACAUAGACGUGGUCGAUCCUUGGGUGGUAGAGCACAAAACCUUUAUUAAGAAGACGUACAAUGACCGAGGCCAACAGAGGACGGACGGAGAUAUACUCAAAGAGCACAACUCAUGUUUCACGCGUUGGUUCAAGCAGAAGCUUAUGUCGUACCCUUUACAUGAGGAUUCUUCCGCGGAAGAACAACUCAUAUUCGCCUUGUCACAGGGCGCCGAGCACAACCUGAUGACCUAUGAGGCGUACGAUAUCAACGGCUACACAUUCUACACCGAGGCCAAGGACAUGAAGAGCGAUGGUUAUCAGAACUCCGGGGUAACGAUGGAAUCCUACACCGGUAACGACAAGGACAGAUACUACGGAAGGAUCGAGGAGAUCUGGGAGCUGAGCUACGCUCGAGAGAAGGUCCCGAUGUUCCGUGUCAGAUGGGCCAAGAGCGUCCUAAAAGAAGACCGGUAUUUCACCACCAUGGUUAUACCCGAAGCCAAAUCCAAGACUGCGGGCGCAAACGUCACCGCGAAAAAUGAGCCAUGGGUACUGGCUUCCCAAGUGGACCAAUGCUUCUUCAUUACCGACCCGUCAAAGCCCAGUCGUGUUGUCAUGAGGAGAGGCAAAAGGAAGAUCAUCGGAAUGGAUGGAGUAGCCAAUGAGCAAGACUUCGACAAGUACGGCGACCCGAGGAUUGAACAUGACGACGAUGAUGAAGUAGCAGUAUACACCACAAGAAGAAGCAAGACCACCCUACCUAAAGGACGUCCAUUCCACAGAAGAACUCCAUUUGCGAAAAAGAAGGGCAAGAAGAUUGUGAACAGAUAGCUAGCUAAGAUCGAUUGUAUUUAAAUCGUAGCCUUCAUUUCUCGAUUGUAUUUCAUGGGCACUUUUUGAACUAUCAUGAAUAUUUUUAAAUUUCAUGGACACUCGAUCUCGAUCCCCCUCCAUCUCGAUCGCUAUCCCACCUCGCCAGAUCCGGUCCCCCUCGCCGCCGAGCACCCCCCGGUCCACCGGCCGCCGCCGCCGACCCCCCGCACCCUCGAUUCCCCUACUCAACCGCCGCCGCCGACUCCCCGCACCCCUCCCCUACUCAACCACCGCCGCCGACCCCCCGCACCCCGCGCACCCUCCCCCGCUCCACCGGCAUUACUGUUUGAUGAUAUUUUUUAAAAAAUUAUUGCUGUCUUAUAAAAAAAUAUUACUGUUAUGAUUUAAACAAGUUUGAACAUAUUUAAACACAAAUAAGUAUCAAACAUCAUUUUAAAUGCAUAAAAAAAAUUUGUGGAGCCUGGGAAUCGAACCCAGGACCUCCUGGUGUGAGAACUGGCUGCUGACCAGUCGAGCUAGUAGAGGGAACUUGGUGUGGAUCAGGUCAGGUGGAAGAUAACCUGUUGGCUCGAGCAGAAAUCAAAAAAAAAUACUAAUGGCGCACCACGGUGGGGUGCGCCAUUAGUAUUGUGCCAUUAGUAUUGACAAAGAGAUUUCACCUAACAAAAAAGGUCAGCGCCCACGCCAUGCUCUUUCUCUCCCCUCUGUCUCUCUCCCCUCACUGCGCCGUCCCCGUGCCCGAGCCGCCCCCGUCGCCGCCGACCCCCACCGCCCUCGCCGCCGCUCCCGACCCCCACCACCCUCGCCGCCCCUGACCCCCUGCCGCCCUGCCACGCCAGUCCACCACCCCCCANNNNNNNNNNNNNNNNNNNNNNNNNNNNNNNNNNNNNNNNNNNNNNNNNNNNNNNNNNNNNNNNNNNNNNNNNNNNNNNNNNNNNNNNNNNNNNNNNNNNNNNNNNNNNNNNNNNNNNNNNNNNNNNNNNNNNNNNNNNNNNNNNNNNNNNNNNNNNNNNNNNNNNNNNNNNNNNNNNNNNNNNNNNNNNNNNNNNNNNNNNNNNNNNNNNNNNNNNNNNNNNNNNNNNNNNNNNNNNNNNNNNNNNNNNNNNNNNNNNNNNNNNNNNNNNNNNNNNNNNNNNNNNNNNNNNNNNNNNNNNNNNNNNNNNNNNNNNNNNNNNNNNNNNNNNNNNNNNNNNNNNNNNNNNNNNNNNNNNNNNNNNNNNNNNNNNNNNNNNNNNNNNNNNNNNNNNNNNNNNNNNNNNNNNNNNNNNNNNNNNNNNNNNNNNNNNNNNNNNNNNNNNNNNNNNNNNNNNNNNNNNNNNNNNNNNNNNNNNNNNNNNNNNNNNNNNNNNNNNNNNNNNNNNNNNNNNNNNNNNNNNNNNNNNNNNNNNNNNNNNNNNNNNNNNNNNNNNNNNNNNNNNNNNNNNNNNNNNNNNNNNNNNNNNNNNNNNNNNNNNNNNNNNNNNNNNNNNNNNNNNNNNNNNNNNNNNNNNNNNNNNNNNNNNNNCACCCCGCCACCCCGGUGCCCCGGUGAGCUUCCCCCUGUUUAGGAUGUUAGUUUACUCAUAGAUUUUGUCUCGGUGGUCCCUUAAUUGUCGGCCUCACUUCAGGCAUCGAGCAACAUCAACUUCCCCCCAACACAGUUACCAUUUUUUAACUGUACAUGGUUGUUCUCUCUGAAAAACACUAGUAGGCCUUGGAAGCGGUUGUGUAUAAUUCAGCAGUUACAUAGUUUAUAGUUUCUGAAUUUCUCAAAUUUGGUUCUUUCUGUUUGUGUUUUGACUGUUACAUAUAGUUUCAGCGGUUAGCCAUUGCGAUUAAGGAAUAUACUUUGAGAAGAACAAACACCAGUUAUAAAAAUUGUUUCAUUGCACCGUCAAUGACGGGUGAGAUGGCAGCACCCAUGGAGUUCAUUUGGUUCAGUUUCUAUAGUGCAGUUAAGAGUAUUAGUGCUUACCGUUAUUGAGUAAAAAAAGGAAAAGACAAGCAAUGUGAAAGAAUCAGAUUACGUGUGGUAGAGAGAAGUUCCUUCAUUUUUUUCUAAGUGCACUGCAGUACUUGUUCCUUUGUGCACCAUAAGUAAAACUAGCUAAUUUUAUGAAAAUGUAUCAUAUCACUGUCCGUGACUCUCUCUUUUUAAGUCCACAUUCUGUUGGUGGCUCGGUUAACUCCUAGGGUUUUAGCAGUUAUGUAUAAAAAACAUAGAAAAGCCCGACGGAAUUAACUUUGGCUUUUCUGCAUUUAACUAAAAAACCCAUAAAGAGUACAGUUCAUUAUUGAAUAAAAUGAAAUGGCAGUUUAUUUAGAAAUUUGGAGCAGUUGUUCUAUGGUUUUUUUAGCACAAAAAGUCUGAUUAUAUAAGCAAAAACAAUUGUUAGCUUUUAGAUGUUGUGGUGGUUCACUUGGGGGUAUGUGUAGCAGUUAGCAAAAACAGAGGACUAAAGUGCUCUGUUUUAGCAAACCAGUGCAUGCAUGCCUUUUUUCUUCUUCAUUUUUUUUCACUGACGACGAAUGCUGGCAACUCGACAGUAGCUAGCUAGCAGGUGUUCCUUUACAAGCAUAGUAGAGCAUAGUAUGGAUUCUAAUGUUCAACUCUGACUAAACAGGUUCUGCAAACGGUCUUUUACUGCACUUGACUGAAGAAGUAGGUGUCUGCUAUAUCCUACACUUGAGGUGAGAUGUGUUCUCAGGUUUACAUUGCAAUGGGCACUCUUCUUGUAAACACAAAUUCAGAUUUAUAUACUAUAUGCUGGCAUGACUAUUUUUAUUAGGCAGGACAGUGCAGUAGUUGAUGUAUCUUGGGUUGAUUAUAAAGUUGCUUGGGUUUAAUAUUACCCAGCAUGAUGAUGUAUCAAUGUAGCGUUAGCAUAUGAGCCAAGCGCUAGUACUGCUAGUAAAUAGCUAAUACAGUUAAUGAAGAAGAAAAAAAACUGCUAGUACAGUUAAUGAAGAAGAAGAAAACUGCUACUACUGCUAGUAAAUAGCAUCAGACUGAUUGUCUUUUAUAUAUGGCCAAUACAGUCUCAUGGACAAUACAGUUAUUGAAGAAGAAGAAAAACUGCUAGUACUGCUAGUAAAUAGCAUCAGACUGAAUGUCUUUUAUAUAUGGUACUGCUAGUAAAUAGCUUCUUCUAUAUACUAAUAUGCAUCAAAGUGUAGAACAAAGCAUCAUACUGAAUAACUAACAGUGGGUAAUUAAUUUGCUGGUACUAGCUAGAAUUUGGCACUGAAAAGCAAAAGCAAAAUCUAAUUAACUGCUGGGUAAUAGCACUGGUACUAGGUAGCUAAAAUAUGUGUUCUGAAACACUGAGAGCAGAAACACUUACUACAUACAUAUGCUCAAGAAACACUUACUAACCAGAAAAGGUUUUGACUUGAAAUGUUAAUAGCACAGAGAGCACCACAAGUCAAACACCUCAAUCUGUUAGUAUUUGUCUGCAUUUUCUCACAUUCUUCUUGUAUCUGAUCCAGUAUUGCUUGUAGUGGUUUGUCCAAAAUGUUGAAUGAUACUGCUUGGAGAUGCAUAUAUUGUUUCACCUCUUCACAUGCCAAUGUAUUUUCCAUGUUAUGAUGGAGGCCUUUUUUGCCUUAUCCACCCGAGAGGCCCUUGAGUUUGCUGGAAUGUCGAUUAACUCCCGUUCUGGCAAAUUCGGGUACUCCAUAUGUCGGGUACUCCACCCGAGAGGCCCUUGAGUUAUGCAUGGCUUUUAGGGUGCCUCGGUGUCGAUAAAAACCGAAAUGAUGAAAGCUUAGGCUUUUAGGGUGCCUCGGUGUCGAAAAACCCUCAAUGAUAAAAGCUUAGCUUUUAGGAUGCCUCGGUGUCGACAAACCCUAAAUGAUGAGACCAUGAUCUUGUUCCUUGACAAUAACCAACUUUUUGACCAAACUUUGUUCCUAUUUAGAGAGAAACAUGGCCAACAACGAUGAGGCCGGGGGUUCGGGCGGCAAGGCAUUCUGGAAGUUGUCCCAGGAGAUGGAGGAACAACCUCACUUGUAUGAGGACGCCGCCUUCCCCACCGAUCCUGAGACCACUGAUGGUACCGCCGAGGAUGACCCCACUAAUGCCACCACUGAUGGUGCCGCCGAGGAUGCCACCACUGAUGAUGGCGGCGCACGCACAGAUGGCAGCCAACCGAAGAGGCAACGGAAGGACCGGCGCCCAACCGUGCUCCGCACCCUCAAGGAGGAAGUUACUGAAGUGGACUCCGACGGGAACCCAACGGCGCCCGAAUGAAUAGUCAAGGGGUACUCGCUUCAGCUCGGGUGCAUUCUCCGGAGCACCGUCUCGAUCAACACCGAGAACCUGAGGCAUCCUGACCGAGGGAAUUUGCGCAACCUCCUCUUCAUGAAGCUGCACGAACGAUACAAGUUCCCCGCUGAAUUUGAAAACAUAAGCCUCAAAGGGAAUAAAGUGAACAAUGCUGCCCUCACGAAGAUGAGCAAGGCCCUGUCUACUUGGAAAAGCAAUGUGAAGAGAAUGAUCGAGAAAGGUGAGAGUUAUGACAAGAUCAAGGAGAAAAAUCCUUCGAUCACCGAAGAUGACUACAACGACUUCAAGAUCAAUUGCUCGAGCACCGCAAACUCCGAAUCAAGUAAGUGGGGGAAAGAAAUGCGGGAGCUGAACUUAGGGGAACACACACUCGGUCCCAGCGGUUACAGAGUGGCGGAGCCUAUAUGGGACAAGGAGGAGGCGGACCGUGCCGAGCAAGGCCUACCGCCCCUCUUCGAUAAAUACGGUGACAAGCAAACCAGGAACUUUGUCACGGCCCGGUACAAGAAGGACCCGAAAACAAAGGAGCUUACCACGGAUCCGAAGACCAGGGCGCUUGAGCUUGUUCUGGUAAGGAAUACACCCCCGUGUAAUUAGCUCCAUAUGGUUGCAUUCUAAUUAAUGAAGCCAAAUUUCUAAAUGGUGCACAUUCCUUCCGCAGGCGACUGAAAGCAGUAGUGCGGGGUCGACUAAGAGCAACCCUUGGGACACCACUCUAAAUAGGGCGUUGAAUGUAAUGAAGAACAAGGAUAAGCUCAGUAAGCCGACGUCAGCUGGUCGUGUGGCCGGCAAAGGCUUGUCGACAAAAUGGUCGUCAUACUAUAACACUGGUGGGCGAAAGGAGAAAAAGACCAGCUCGGAAAGCCAGGCGCGCGAGGUUCAAGAACUCAGGGCACAGGUGGCGCGGAUUCCGGAGAUUGUCCAAGAGCAAGUGGAACAACAACUCGGAAGGAUGAUCACCGCCAUUGUGCCUACUUUGAUCCAGGGGAUCAGUGCGUGGAUUGCGGGCGGCCAACAGGGGCCACCCCCGAUUCCUAGCUUCACGGCCAGCAACUCGCAGAACGCAAUGGCGGGGCCAUUGGUGUCUCCGACGCCGGCACGGGAGCUUAAUGCACCCGGGUGUACGCCGGCCGGCACCUCUGCAGCAAGCGGCCCCUCCGUCAACUGCACGCCCGCCGUUGGCGGUGCCUCGACAUUAGCCGAGCUCGACGCCAUCAUCACGGUAACUAAUUAAGCCUCUCUCGGCCGAGGACUUCAUAUCCUUGCCUUUGACUGGGCAUCCCUGACGCCCUACAUGUUUUCGCAGGGCGCCGCCGAUGUUCUGUGCACUCUCCUGCACUUCAUGAACAACGAGUUGGUCGAUGUCGCCAAGGGCAAAAUCGUUCAACCGGGCAACCCCUUGUUCCACGGUACCCAGAUGCCACCUAACUUGUUUAGGGUUCAACUGGUUCGGGUGCUGCCAGGCUGCGACGAGUUGUUACCUCCGAUUCGACCCGUUGGGGCCGACGAUGAUGAUGUGAUGACCCUCAGCGCCUGCCUGAGCUGGCCCCUGCUUUGGCCGAAGAGCCAGAUUCAUUUGGGGGCGGGGGACACCACCCCAAAGACAACACCGCCAGUCGUGCCGGCGCCAAGUCGGCCCCAUGGCAAGACCGCCGCAACGGUGCCGAACAUCCCUAUGCCACUGGAUCCAAACAUGCAUAUGGCACAGGAUCAGAAUGACGACGACUACGAUACAUUUGCCAACGUCGAUCGGUACUUUGCCGAUCAUGGGUACGGUGGCGACUUCAUGGGGCCUCCUUCUCAAGAACCCAACCCAACAAAAGACAUGCGCGAUCUAGCUGGUACCGCGGAGAAGCCAAGUUGCAACAGACGUCGUCUGCCGUUUAGCUCUCAGGAGACGCCUCCAGCUGCCGACUUCACCGAGCCUCAGAUAGGCGAGGUGUGAAAUAUUAUCAGCCCCUACACACUCAAGAAGGCGGUCUGUGAGCAGAACUCGGUCCCAUUACAGGAGAAGAAGAAGGCAUGCAAAAGAAAGACUAACAAGGGUGCGGGCCAGCGGGCACCGAGUACGAUCCGUGCUCAGGACGGGCCACAUUCACCUGAGGAUAUCUCAAGGAGGGUGCAUGUGGCGGGUAGGCCGAUGCUACCGAGAAAUAUGCUCGAUGCUGCAACCGGUGCUAUGCGGAGUCUGCAUGACAGUGUUCUUUCUUUGGAGAAGCGGCAUCUCGGAGAGAAGGAUGUGGCAUACCCGGUUUUCGCGGCCAAGGUGCCAGAGGGUAAGGGCUUUGUGGAUAACUCCAUCGGGGGUACGAUCGUCCUGCGGUUUGAUGACAUCCACGCUAUGUUGAACCUUCAUCCGCUGCACUACACCUUCGUUUGGCUAUUUUUGCUGAGUAUGGAGAUGCGGAUCAUUCGCGACAAGACCCCGGACAUCGUGAUAGUCGACCCCUUCUACAUGCGUGCCAAGAUCUUGGGCAGCGCUGGGGACCGGCAAGUCGCGACUUCUUACCUCGAAGGCGUCAUUCUGGCAAACCAAGAUAAGGAUAACUUCCUCGUGCCUUACUUUCCUGAGUAAGUCCUCCCCUCAACCGCCCCGUAACAUAUGAAUUCUUAGAUUUCGAUCGUUUUUAUUUUAACAUUCCGUGUUUUCUGUAGUGACAGACAUUGCACGCUCAUCCUCCUAAGCCCCAAAUAUUCCAUGGCCACGUAUUUCGACCCGGACCGUCAGUCGAACGUAGACUACACAAAUGUCAAGAAGGUUCUUGAUGAUGUUCUCCCCGGCUACGUCAAAUAUGGAGGCACCUUCACCAGGCCUAUUCGUAAGUACGGCAAGCACGUGUUCUCCCACAAUACGACGUUCUGCUGCGUCAAGCAGCCGCCUGGUGGUUAGAAGGGUGCCUACUACGCCAUCCAUCACAUGCGGGCGAUCGUACGGGACCAUCAUCAACUUCUGCUACCGAGUAAACUCAAAGAUUGGGCCGCGAGCGUGUCGGCAAUCCAGGACGCGGACAUCAGACAAGAAUUCUUUCGCAUCCAGUCGGAGUUUGCGGAAAUCAUCCAUCAAGAUGUCCUUCGUACCUCGGGGCAGUUCUACCUCAGAAAUCAACCAUCCAACAGUGACAUCGACACAAUGCUACAAAUGCAGGCUGACAAUGACCGUUAUUUCAUGACUCCCAGGAUAGACGGCAGCGUCAUCCACGCUCCGGUCACUUGAGUCGAGUCGAAAGCAGUGAUGCUGUGUCUAGUUCUGAAACAUCGAUUCGCUCAUGUUGUAAUUAAACUUUAAUGAACUUGUAGUAUGUCUCUUUGGUUUCAAGAGUCGUUCAACUUAGAUGUAAUCGAUGCUAUUAAUGUCUUGCUUUUCUCUUCCGAUCGUUCUGUUGCAUACUUGUAUAUUGCUUAUGUAUUGUCUGUGAAUUGGUACUAACGUUUCGUUUGGCUACUGCAUAGCGAUGCCGUCGUGUACAAGGGUAAGGUUCCCGGAGUCUACGACGACUGGGAGGAGUGUCGGAGAUAGGUUCACCGAUUCAGCGGUAACAGUUACAAAGGGUACACCACUAGGGCCGAGGCCGAAUCUAGAUACGCCUGCUAUCUAGCGGGAGAGGGGAGGGAGCGCUGGAGGAACCGGAUGAAGACGAGUUUCAUCGUGAUGAUGCUCAUCGUGAUGACCGCAGCUCUCUUCUAUGUGAUGGUAGUUUAGAUGAUCGAUAUCGACUUGUAAUGUGAAGACAAACUCGCUACUCGCGGUCUCGAGACUUGUAAUAUAAUGUUCUAUCUUUGUUCGGUCUUUUCAAUUCGGAGACUAAUAUGAUGAAUUGUAUUCGGAGACUAAUAUGAUGAAUUGUAUUCAGAGACUAAUCUUCUAUUGUAUUCGAUGAAUCUGUUGUUGAUGUGUGCUGUCUAUAUUUUGUCCAAUUAUACAUUUUGUAACCUGUGCAAAAAACAAAAAAUAAAAAAAACAAAAAAAAAA
rnacentral:lncRNA from 1 species